CACGAACGCUGGCGGCGUGCUUAACACAUGCAAGUCGAACGGAAAGGCCCUGCUUUUGUGGGGUGCUCGAGUGGCGAACGGGUGAGUAACACGUGAGUAACCUGCCCUUGACUUUGGGAUAACUUCAGGAAACUGGGGCUAAUACCGGAUAGGAGCUCCUGCUGCAUGGUGGGGGUUGGAAAGUUUCGGCGGUUGGGGAUGGACUCGCGGCUUAUCAGCUUGUUGGUGGGGUAGUGGCUUACCAAGGCUUUGACGGGUAGCCGGCCUGAGAGGGUGACCGGCCACAUUGGGACUGAGAUACGGCCCAGACUCCUACGGGAGGCAGCAGUGGGGAAUAUUGCACAAUGGGCGGAAGCCUGAUGCAGCAACGCCGCGUGCGGGAUGACGGCCUUCGGGUUGUAAACCGCUUUCGCCUGUGACGAAGCGUGAGUGACGGUAAUGGGUAAAGAAGCACCGGCUAACUAUGUG
rnacentral:rRNA from 1 species